UUGAUUUUUUAUUUUGGCAACAUACACAUUUUCUAUUUUUCGCAGUCUCCCAUUCAUUUUUUUUCUUUUUUUUUUUUCGCUAAACUCAGAUUUAUGAGGACUGAACCUCUAUUGUAAGGUAGUCGACAGCGGAGUCCGGUAGGGUUUCGGCGAAGGAAGAAGAAGGGGAAGGGAUCUCGUUGAGGUCGAUUACAAGACCUCAACGAUUGCUGUUAUGGUCGCCGCCGGUGGAAUCGUUGAGUUCCUGGAAUCCUUCAAAUGAUUUGCUUCAGCUAUUUCAGCCUUUUGGAGUCAUAACAAAGCUUGUGAUGUUGCGUGCCAAAAAUCAGGGGGAGAAAUGUUUAUGUCCAGUUUUCCUCACAUCAAGAAUUAACUACAAUGGAUCAAAGUCAAGGACGAGAAGACGAGGGGAAGGUCAUAUUCGUAAGAUUUUUGCUAGAGAUUGACGUGUUAGGUUGAGUUGAAAAGAUGAAAAACACAGAGAGAAUUGCCAAUUUGGCUUUAGCAGAAGCUGAUUCAUUGGACUAACUUUUUCUCACCAAGAUGAGGCCAAAAUCUGCACAAAGACACAUUAAAGAAUAACCUCAUAGGGAAUAACAUGCUUUGAAGAGAAGGACAUGGAUGAAGGGAUGUUUAAGGUGAAGAGAGUUGAUGAAGCUGUGAGUAUUUUGCUUCCGCAAACGCCAGAAAAGAUGAGGCAGCUUCUGCAGCUAACGUUUGUUAAGCCUAUCAAAGUCAUGCCAUCAUGUUUCAUCAAUGAUUACAUUGAUGUUUGAAGGAGUGAGCAAAAGUUAGUGGCCAACUCAUCAAAGGUGGGACCCGGUGGAAUUGAUAACCCAGCAUACACAAUACUUUGGGAAGAACACGACCAGGUAUUUCCACUGGAAUUAGCUCACAGACUGAAAAGGUUAUUCUUGAAGGUCUAUGGCAGGAAGGAUUUAUGGCACUUGCUGCAAUUGAAACCACAACUAUUGGGUCAAUUGAGGUAACGGAGCAACAUUUCCGUGCUCAACCUUCUUCGUAUUCUGCUACUCAUCAGCCAUAAUAGAUUACUUAUGUUUAAACAUUUUAGUUGUAUUUACAUUGUGAUUACUUUUAUGAUUAGUUUGUA